GGAUAUCUCAUCCUGAUAUUAGUAAUAUUAUCACCUCUGUUUAUUCAGAGAAAAAAAGAAAAGCAACAAGUUUCUGAUAAAUCUGAGGAUCUGACUUACUCUGAUGUGAAGAGAGUUAAAGCGG